rnacentral:rRNA from 1 species
GACGAACGCUGGCGGCGUGCUUAACACAUGCAAGUCGAACGGUGAAGGGACUGGUUUUGCUGGUCCUGGAUGAGUGGCGAACGGGUGAGUAACACGUGAGUAACCUGCCCCCUUCUUCUGGAUAACCGCAUGAAAGUGUGGCUAAUACGGGAUAUUCUGGGUCUGUCGCAUGGUGGGCCUGGGAAAGAUUGCGCCUUUUUUGGUGUUUUUGGUGGGGGAUGGGCUCGCGGCCUAUCAGCUUGUUGGUGGGGUGAUGGCCUACCAAGGCGGUGACGGGUAGCCGGCCUGAGAGGGUGGACGGUCACACUGGGACUGAGACACGGCCCAGACUCCUACGGGAGGCAGCAGUGGGGAAUAUUGCACAAUGGGCGCAAGCCUGAUGCAGCGACGCCGCGUGAGGGAUGGAGGCCUUUGGGUUGUGAACCUCUUUCGCCAGUGAAGCAGGCCUGCCUCUUUUUGUGGGUGGGUUGACGGUAGCUGGAUAAGAAGCGCCGGCUAACUACGUG